GAUGUGAUUCUGUGUCUAUAUGUGUUUUUUUGUGUAUUUCCUUUGACUGUUUUUCUUCUGUCUGUUUUGUCCUAUUCUGAUAUUUUGUUUUUGUUUUACUAUAGUUUAUUAUUGUUCAUUAGUUGUCUGUUUGUUUUCUAACGGGAGACAGAAAGGGUGUGGAUCUGGAUAGGAUGGGAGAUGUGGUGGGACUGGGAACAGUAAAGGUGGGGAAGAAAAACCAUAAUCAGGGUAUAGUGUAUGAAAAAAAUCCAUUCUCAAUAAAAAUUCCUCAUUCUGUCCUGAAAUAUGGUAGUUAGUGCUGUUUGCGGUUUUAAUCUCUUGUAGACUCAUUGAAUUCUAACAUUUACUGGGCUCGUAAACUAAUCUGGAUCGAUUUGACUUUGCACCAUCAAGCCCAUUACACUUGUUUCAAUUUUUUGCAUCAUGGCUUUAACAUCUGGAAGCGAUGAAAAGCAGAGCUGCCUGUCUAAAGAGACUGUCACAAGAAAUACUGUACGAGGACACAUUAUUAAGACUUGACUAACCGUUGGAUCCACAGCUCCUGCCAAGCUGCCACAGGGAUGGAGCAUGCGCAAAAGGCAGCUCCUAACCGCUACUUGGGAAUAGCUUUUCCCAAAAUACAUUUUUUUUUUCCCUCUUGGUAUCUAUGCCUUGCUGCUCCCACCCCCUGACUGGUUUGUCUGAGGCCAGCUCCUGAAUUACCUCUGAGUAGUUUCGCAGUGAUAUUUUGAAGCUAAUUAGAUCUAGCUAACAAUUUGUGUCACAGACUCAAGAUACCUUUCUUCUUCUGAAGUAUCAUCAUAUGUGUUUGUGUAGGGCGUCUCGCCUGUGCUUUCCUAAUCAUUCUUUGAAUAAGCUUGUAAACAACUGCCUUUGAAAAUGCGGCAUUUGCAAAAGAGCCAGCCUGUGAUUUUUUAUUUUUUUUUACGGCAGUCAGAACAAGUAUUAAGGUACCAAAUUCAUUCACAUUUUUGCAUGCGUUCUUAACUCUGAUUUAGAUUAACAUAUGUGUGUAUUUCUCACCAUUUUAAAUACAUCCUUUAUAUGUAGUAUCAGCUCUUGGGGAUAUACACGGUGUGAAAGUGGAGAAAAGGGGGUCUGCAGUGAAGCUUCUCACUGAGUCCUGGCUCCAGUACUUGGUGCAGCACUGUGUUGACUCAGGCGAUGCUUUUCAGCUCCCUGUGCCUCAGUUUCUGCAUUUGUCGGGGCUUUUAUAAACCACUGUGAACAUUAAAUGAUCUGAAGGAAUUAAAACAAUGUUGGACACAGAGUAAGUCCCCGAUAAGUCUUUGUCAUUGAUAUGUUAUACAUUUUAGUGAUUUUAAUAUUAUUUGUAUUCACAACUAGGCAUGGCACAUGUGUUGUUAAAAAUAGAAAAAUAGGAAAAACUAGUUAAAAUAAUGUUUUCCCUCAUUUCACCACCAAGAGGCAAUCCUGGUUACACUUUGGUGUAUUUCACUUCAAUAAUUUUUUUUUUAAACCCAAACAUCUCCACUCUUUAUCAUGGAGCCUUAGACAAAUUACUUGACUUCUUGACGCUUUAGUCAUCGUGUCUAUAAAAUGGAAUUAACUACAACACUUACAUCACAGGGCUAUUGCGAGGAAUGAGAUAUCCAUUUUAGGUUCCUAGCUCAAUAGUUGGUAUAUAUAUUUAGGUUGAGCCACAUGAAAUUGCCAAUACUUUCCAGUGUGGAAUCUUUUCCUUAGUGGAAAUCAAUGAGAAAAGUUCUGUAUAUUUUAGGAUAAGAUGAUGCAGGACUGUGAUGGUGGAGAGGAAAUUGGCUUGGGUCCUCACCCUUAGAAGCAGAAAAAAACAAACCUGACAGUCCUUAAUAAUGGCAAAAAUAUAGUGUCAGAAUAUUCCAAAGACAGUAGAUUAUCACACCCAGGAAGGACUCUGUGUGUCUGUGGCAGUGUCAUUAGGACAUGAGUCUGAGCUUCAGGCAAUAGACAAAGUUAGAAUGCAUUUCAUUGUGAUACAGGGUAUGCAUGAAGAUGGGGUGGAAGUCAAAGUCCAUCUGGGUUACAUUGCCGGAGUUUCUGUUCUCAUCUUCUUGCACAAUAGAAGUCAGUUGAGGGGCACAGACAGUUUAAGCAGAAGUUUACUUAACAAAGAAAAGCACUCCAAAGAGAGAUUAAAAUGACCUGUCCCAAAGUGGGCCAGGGAGGGGACAACAGCAGCAUAGUGAGUUUUAUAUUGCAGAUUUGAAAUGGAUGUUUAUGAAUUGGGAGCUGCAUUCAUGGACCUAUUUUUUUUUCAUCUGAAGUCAUGAUAAAGUGGAUAUCCUUUUAGGGUGUUUCCUCCUAUAAAUCUCUAGGAAGGCAAGUUAAAACCGCAAUGUAAAUGAGGAAGGUCAAAACCAAGACCUAAAUGAUACAGUAAAGCUGAGGUCAUUGAAGCUUACAGACCCUUCACUAGUGGAUGUGUGGGGAAAUGUUGUGGUGAAGUGGAAACUUCUAGUUUCUUUGGAAAGUUAGUUACAUCAAAUGAUGAUAUGCUGGGGCACACAGGUGAAAGGGUGUCUUGCUAAAGCAAACACGUGAAAGGCUGACUUCCUGAAGCAGACACAGGUGAAAGGAUGUUUGGAUAUAGCAAACAUGUGAAAGGACACUUGAUGAAGGAGUAUUAUGACCCCAUGGACAGUGGGAGACAAACACUGAGCCUUGGUUUGGUUUGCUCUGCCUCACUAUUCUUCACUAUGUAUUGGUUCGCCUUACAUAGCGUUGUUGAGCUCAACUUUUGGUAAUGCUUCCAUUCAAAGAGACUCGCCCAAGAACUGCUCAUGAGGUUCCUGUGGAAGCUUGCUGCCUCCUUGGCCUCACCUUAGGCUGGUUGGUGAGAACUACAGCUACCUGGUGUCUGCUUCCCCAAAGGGCUGGACUGUAGCUGCUGGUUUGUGCCUGGUGUCUGCUUGCCUAGAGGACUGGUCUGCAGCUGCUGAACCAUAUCUGGUGUUUGCUACAGGACUGAACUGCUGCCCAGGCAGAUGAGCUCACUCCCAAAGAACUAUUGCUGAACAGGUCCACUUUCCCCAUAGCCUAAUAACUUCUCUCUUCCACAACUUCUGCUGGAUGGUAGGCUAGAGGAGAGGUUGAACCCUUAGUAAAAGUAGGUUGCAAAAAAGUUAUGCCUACUUCGUGUUGUCUUAGUUUUUGAUGUAGAAGGAAGAGCUUAUUGGCAGCCUCAAGUAUACAAUAUCAAAAAGGAGAAUCCUGGCCACCAGAAGAUGUGGCUCCCAAGUAACAACUACAGUUUUGUUGGCUACCUCAUAUCUACCCUCUUUAAGAGACAGCUUAAAGGUCUUGGGACUAAUAUCCUGGUUUCUGAACUAAUGUACUCUGCUGCUCAAAGUAAAGGCAGUGUGUUAGUGUUUAAAGCAAUACUUUACCAUGAAAGUAGGAGAUAGAGCAUUCCUAUACCUUAUUAGCCUACACAAACAGGGGUCUGGUCUUCUCAGGAUUUUCUUUCCCCAAAUCCAUUGCCAAUGUCUGCCUGUGAGCUUACAACACCACUCAGCACAGUACCUGGCUCUGUUGGUCCUCAACCUAAUGUUUACUAAGAGAUGUGAGACCUGCUCAAUAAGCAAAAGCAUUGGAGCCUCUUUUAGGGUAGAAGUGAAAUUAUUGGUGCCAUUCUUUGGAAAGUUGAGUUGAGUGAAUGCCAAUUGCUCAGUGGAAGCAAUCAGUGAAACUGAACAACAGCCACACAUUAAUUCAGAGGACCUGAGUCUGAUCCUGGAUCCGCAUG
rnacentral:lncRNA from 1 species